rnacentral:rRNA from 1 species
ACUGCGAUAAGUAAUGCGAAUUGCAGAAUUCAGCGAGCCAUCGAAUCUUUGAACGCACAUUGCGCCCGCCAGCAUUCUGGCGGGCAUGCCUGUCCGAGCGUCAUUUCCUCCCUCACGCAGCAGCCCUGCGUGGUGUUGGGGCGUCCUGCCCCUCCCCCUC